ACGUGUCCAUGGACGUUCCACCGUGGCCGGGAGGGAACCACGUCACACACGUUCUCCCCCACCUUGAUGCUGGCAUCUGACACGUGUCCGUGGACAUUCCACCGUGGCCGGGAGGGGGCCGUUCCCGAAGCAUAACCCCCUGUGGGAACGUCGCCCUCUGACACUUGUCUGAGGAGCUGCCCCAUGGCCUGGCUGCCCUCUUGCGGGGAGGUCUUCUGGGGAGAACACGCAUGGGGCAGUGCCACCUGCCCAUCUAGGACACACAUGUCCAGCUGCACAUGAGUGUCCUCCCACUGGGGCUGCCCCUCACUGCCCAAGCCACCUCCCGUGGACUGAAGGGGCCCUGGGAAAGCUGAGGUGGCCACAGCUGGCCUCAGGAUGGUUCUGAAAUCGUAUUCCUGUGGCCCAGAGGGCCCUGUGCCCACCGCUGCAGACGGAGCCGGGGGAGGCAGGUCGGAGCCAAUGGUCUGCAGCGCCUCCUCCAGGACAAGAGCUGAGCCGGUGUGCAAAGGCUGCUCAGCCCCCUGGGCUGUGGGCAGGAAGUCUCGGAUGCUGAGGCCCACAGACAACAGCCCUGGAUCCUCCACCGGAUCCAACAGCAGGCCUGCUCCUGGCCCAGAGCCACAGGCCGCCUCUGCUGGAGACUCGGGCAGCUGUGGCAUCAGCCUGCUCGGCCCACGGGGACCAUCCCGGGCAGCCUUGGGCUGCUCUGCAGGCCCAGAACCACAGCCGCCACCUCCGUCUGGGUGCUCGGGGCACGGAAGGGAGGCCUGAAACACAAGUGCACCUUGGUUCCUCCUGUUCCCUGCUCUGUCCCCGACUUCAGUCCCCUACACCAGAAUGCAUGAUGGGGGCAGUGGGGACACAGGCCCAGCCCCCAGCCUGGGAGCAGCUCUCACCUGGGAGCAGGCACCUGGGAGGACGGCCAGCGGCUCCGGGGGCUUCCCCUCAGACACAGCUCCCAGCAUCCCCUGAAAACCGACCAGCAGGAUGAGAGGCAGCAGCGUCCCCACCGCCCACGACUGCUACGCCCCCCCCACAGGGCAGCUUGCGCAGUGCUUUGCUGCAGCCUGGCCAGCACCCGGCACCACCUCUUCCCGGUCACAGCACCGACAAGCGACGACAACAGCACCACCCACCCCUCCUCGAGGGCAUGCGGGCAGGUCUGUGCAUGGCACCAGGGGGUCCGGAGUUCCUGAGAGCAGAGCGGAGAGCUCCCAACUGCAGCUGUGGCAUCACCUGAACACGCUUCUCCUCCUCUAAGAGAAAGCGACGCCGAGCGUCCGCCAGCCUGUGCCUCUGGACCCUCCACAGCGCCUUCCGCUCCCGACGAGCAGCCUCUGCGGACAACUUGCUAUAAUGAUCCACCAGCGCCUGCCUGCAACCACACACAGGACUGGUCACCGUGGUCAGCCCACUGUGCAGCCAGUGCCCCAGGGGCUGGACAGCUCUUGGUGGCACAGGCCUCCGACAGGCAGCCCACAUGCUUGGCACCUUCCCAGGCCCCCUCAACACCUGCAGGUCUCUCUGCCCCUGGCACAGCAGGUGUCUGCUGAGUGACUACCAGACUGAGCUCCUACAUAGCGUGACGGAAGGGACUGGUGAGGGGCUGGGAGCUGCCCAGGCCUUCUAGGAGUCAGGCCUUGCUCCUCAGCUGCAGCUGUAAUUUGAAAAGAUACCUGUAUUCUAAUAUUCCCUGCAGCACUAUUCACAAUAGCUAAGACAUGGAAGCAACCUGAGCAGAGGAGUGGAUAAAGAGGAUAUGGUACAGGAGCUCCCGUCAUGGCGCAGCGGUUAACAAAUGAGGUUGCGGGUUCAAUCCCUGGCCUUCCUCAGUGGGUUAAAGAUCCGGCGUUGCCGUGAGCUGUGGUGUAGGUCACAGAUGGGGCUCAGAUCUGGUGUUGCCGUGGCUGUGGCAUAGGCCAGCAGCUACAGCUCCGAUUAGACCCCUAACCUGGCAACCUCCAUGUGCCGUGGGUGCAGCCCUAAAAAGACAAAAAAAGGAUAUGGUACACACACACAAGGGAAUAUUAUUCAGCCACUAAAAAGAAUGAAACGAUACCAUCUAUAGCAACAUGGAUGGACCUAGGUGUUGUCGUACUCAGUGAAGUAAGCCAGAAAGAAAAAAACAAACACUGUAUUCUAUCACUUAUAUGUGGAAUCAAAAAUAUGACACAGGAGUCCCCGCUGUGGCACUACAGGAUCAGUGG
rnacentral:lncRNA from 1 species